CGCGGCCUAUCAGCUUGUUGGUGGGGUCAAGGCCUACCAAGGCAACGAUGGGUAGCUGGUCUGAGAGGAUGAUCAGCCACACUGGGACUGAGACACGGCCCAGACUCCUACGGGAGGCAGCAGUGGGGAAUCUUGCGCAAUGCGCGAAAGCGUGACGCAGCAACACCGCGUGAGGGAAGACGGCCUUAGGGUUGUAAACCUCUUUCAGAUGGGACGAAGGUUCGACGGUGAAUAGCCGAUCGGAUUGACGGUACCGUCAGAAGAAGCUCCGGCUAACUACGUGCCAGCAGCCGCGGUAAUACGUAGGGAGCGAGCGUUGUCCGGAAUCAUUGGGCGUAAAGGGCUCGUAGGUGGUUGAUCGCGUCGGAAGUGUAAUCUUGGGGCUUAACCCUGAGCGUGCUUUCGAUACGGGUUGACUUGAGGAAGGUAGGGGAGAAUGGAAUUCCUGGUGGAGCGGUGGAAUGCGCAGAUAUCAGGAGGAACACCAGUGGCGAAGGCGGUUCUCUGGGCCUUUCCUGACGCUGAGGAGCGAAAGCGUGGGGAGCGAACAGGCUUAGAUACCCUGGUAGUCCACGCUGUAAACGAUGGGUACUAGAUGUGGGAGGCGUCGACUCCUCCCGUAUCGUAGCUAACGCACUAAGUGCCCCGCCUGGGGAGUACGG
rnacentral:rRNA from 1 species